rnacentral:rRNA from 1 species
GAUGAACGCUGGCGGCGUGCCUAAUACAUGCAAGUCGAGCGAACAGAUGAGGAGCUUGCUCCUCUGACGUUAGCGGCGGACGGGUGAGUAACACGUGGAUAACCUACCUAUAAGACUGGGAUAACUUCGGGAAACCGGAGCUAAUACCGGAUAAUAUAUUGAACCGCAUGGUUCAAUAGUGAAAGACGGUUUUGCUGUCACUUAUAGAUGGAUCCGCGCCGCAUUAGCUAGUUGGUAAGGUAACGGCUUACCAAGGCAACGAUGCGUAGCCGACCUGAGAGGGUGAUCGGCCACACUGGAACUGAGACACGGUCCAGACUCCUGCGGGAGGCAGCAGUAGGGAAUCUUCCGCAAUGGGCGAAAGCCUGACGGAGCAACGCCGCAUGAGUGAUGAAGGUCUUCGGAUCGUAAAACUCUGUUAUUAGGGAAGAACAAAUGUGUAAGUAACUAUGCACGUCUUGACGGUACCUAAUCAGAAAGCCACGGCUAACUACGUG